AUUGAACGCUGGCGGCAUGCCUUACACAUGCAAGUCGAACGGUAACAGGUCUUCGGAUGCUGACGAGUGGCGAACGGGUGAGUAAUGCAUCGGAACGUGCCCAGUAGUGGGGGAUAGCCCGGCGAAAGCCGGAUUAAUACCGCAUACGACCUGAGGGUGAAAGGGGGGGAUCGCAAGACCUCUCGCUAUUGGAGCGGCCGAUGUCAGAUUAGCUAGUUGGUGGGGUAAAGGCCUACCAAGGCAACGAUCUGUAGUUGGUCUGAGAGGACGACCAGCCACACUGGGACUGAGACACGGCCCAGACUCCUACGGGAGGCAGCAGUGGGGAAUUUUGGACAAUGGGCACAAGCCUGAUCCAGCAAUGCCGCGUGCAGGAAGAAGGCCUUCGGGUUGUAAACUGCUUUUGUCAGGGAAGAAAUCUUCUGGGUUAAUACCUCGGGAGGAUGACGGUACCUGAAGAAUAAGCACCGGCUAACUACGUGCCAGCCGCCGCAGUAACAC
rnacentral:rRNA from 1 species